UGGGCGUGAAAGCUCCGGGCCCAACCCGGAGAGGUCGUUCAAUACUGCGUGUCUAGAGGGUGUCAGAGGGGAGUGGAAUUUCCGGAGUAGCGGUAAAAUGCGCAGAGAUCGGAAAGAACACCAAUGGCGAAGGCAGCUCCCUGGGGCAACCCUGACGCUAAGAGACGAAAGCUAGGGGAGCGAACAGGAUUAGAGACCCUGGUAGUCCUAGCCCUAAACGAUGGAUGCUGGAUGUGGGGCCAUAGCGCUCCGUGUCGAAGCGAACGCGUUAAGCAUCCCGCCUGGGGACUACGGCCGCAAGGUUAAAACUCAAACGAAUUGACGGGACCCCGCACAAGCAGCGGAGCGUGUGGUUUAAUUCGAUGCUACACGAAGAACCUUACCUGGGUUUGACAUCUAGGUGGUAGUGAAGCGAAAGCGGAGCGACCCUUCGGGGAGCCUAGACAGGUGCUGCAUGGCUGUCGUCAGCUCGUGCCGUGAGGUGUCGGGUUAAGUCCCGUAACGAGCGCAACCCUUGCCCUCCGUUAUACGUGUCAGAGGGGACUGCCGGCGGUAAGCCGGAGGAAGGUGGGGAUGACGUCAAGUCAGCAUGGCCUUUAUAUCCAGGGCUACACACACGCUACAAUGGCCAGUACAAAGGGCAGCGAAGCCGCGAGGUGGAGCGAAUCCCAGCAAAGCUGGUCGUAGUUCGGAUUGCAGGCUGCAACCCGCCUGCAUGAAGCUGGAGUUGCUAGUAACCGCGCGUCAGCCAUAGUGCGGUGAAUACGUUCCACGGGGUUUGUACACACCGCCCGUCACGUCAUGGGAGUCGAUAACGCCUGAAGCCGGUGGCCUAGCUCGGAAGAGAGGGCGCUGUCUAAGGCGGGGUCGGUGACUGGGACGAAGUCGUA
rnacentral:rRNA from 1 species